GAUGAACGCUAGCGGGAGGCCUAAUACAUGCAAGUCGAACGGUAACAGGUAGCAAUACGCUGACGAGCGGCGCACGGGUGAGUAACACGUACACAACCUGCCUAUGACUGGGGCAUAACUUCGGGAAACUGAAGCUAAUUCCCCAUAACACUGCAGAAAGGCAUCUUUCAGCAGUUAAAGCCCCGGCGGUCAUAGAUGGGUGUGCGUUUGAUUAGCUAGUUGGUAAGGUAACGGCUUACCAAGGCUACGAUCAAUAACUGGUCUGAGAGGAUGAUCAGUCACACGGGCACUGAGACACGGGCCCGACUCCUACGGGAGGCAGCAGUAGGGAAUAUUGGACAAUGGAGGCAACUCUGAUCCAGCCAUCCCGCGUGAAGGAUUAAGGCCCUAUGGGUUGUAAACUUCUUUUCUCUGGGAAUAAAAACUGGGAUUCAUCCUGGCUUGAAGGUACCAGAGGAAUAAGCACCGGCUAACUCCGUGCCAGCAGCCGCAGUAACAC
rnacentral:rRNA from 1 species